UACGGAGGGUGCAAGCGUUAAUCGGAAUUACUGGGCGUAAAGCGUACGUAGGCGGCUUGUUAAGCAAGAUGUGAAAGCCCCGGGCUCAACCUGGGAAUGGCAUUUUGAACUGGCAGGCUCGAGUUCUGAAGAGGGUGGUAGAAUUUCCUGUGUAGCGGUGAAAUGCGUAGAUAUAGGAAGGAAUACCGGUGGCGAAGGCGGCCACCUGGUCAGAAACUGACGCUGAGGUACGAAAGCGUGGGGAG
rnacentral:rRNA from 1 species